GACGAACGCUGCGGCGUGCUUAAUACAUGCAAGUAGAACGCUAAAGCUUGGUGCUUGCACCGAGCGGAUGAGUUGCGAACGGGUAGUAACGCGUAGGUAACCUGCCUGGUAGCGGGGGAUAACUAUUGGAAACGAUAGCUAAUACCGCAUAAAAUGGAUUAUCGCAUGAUAAUUCAUUGAAAGGUGCAAAUGCAUCACUACCAGAUGGACCUGCGUUGUAUUAGCUAGUUGGUGGGUAACGGCUCACCAAGGCGACGAUACAUAGCCGACCUGAGAGGGUGAUCGGCCACACUGGGACUGAGACACGGCCCAGAUCCUACGGGAGGCAGCAGUAGGGAAUCUUCGGCAAUGGACGGAAGUCUGACCGAGCAACGCCGCGUGAGUGAAGAAGGUUUUCGGAUCGUAAAGCUCUGUUGUAAGAGAAGAACGAGUGUGAGAGUGGAAAGUUCACACUGUGACGGUAUCUUACCAGAAAGGGACGGC
rnacentral:rRNA from 1 species